CAACCUCUGGAAUGUUUGGCCUGACCCUGAUUGUGCCGACCAACUGAACUAUUUAUUGCCUGGAGUCGGGUUGUGGUGAGCAAGUCCGUCCGUGAGCGGAACGCCUGAAACACCUAUCCUGGGUAUCUUUGGGUUUACAGGUCCUCACUAGGUGGUGAGUGUCGGCAUUCUGGAGGUUGU
rnacentral:other from 1 species